GUCUUAAUUGGGCGUUAAGUUGCAGGGUAUAGACCCGAAACCCGGUGAUCUAGCCAUGGGCAGGUUGAAGGUUGGGUAACACUAACUGGAGGACCGAACCGACUAAUGUUGAAAAAUUAGCGGAUGACCUGUGGCUGGGGGUGAAAGGCCAAUCAAACCGGGAGAUAGCUGGUUCUCCCCGAAAGCUAUUUAGGUAGCGCCUCGUGAAUUCAUCUCCGGGGGUAGAGCACUGUUUCGGCUAGGGGGCCAUCCCGGCUUACCAACCCGAUGCAAACUGCGAAUACCGGAGAAUGUUAUCACGGGAGACACACGGCGGGUGCUAACGUCCGUCGUGAAGAGGGAAACAACCCAGACCGCCAGCUAAGGUCCCAAAGUCAUGGUUAAGUGGGAAACGAUGUGGGAAGGCCCAGACAGCCAGGAUGUUGGCUUAGAAGCAGCCAUCAUUUAAAGAAAGCGUAAUAGCUCACUGGUCGAGUCGGCCUGCGCGGAAGAUGUAACGGGGCUAAACCAUGCACCGAAGCUGCGGCAGCGACGCUUAUGCGUUGUUGGGUAGGGGAGCGUUCUGUAAGCCUGCGAAGGUGGCCUGUGAGGGUUGCUGGAGGUAUCAGAAGUGCGAAUGCUGACAUAAGUAACGAUAAAGCGGGUGAAAAGCCCGCUCGCCGGAAGACCAAGGGUUCCUGUCCAACGUUAAUCGGGGCAGGGUGAGUCGACCCCUAAGGCGAGGCCGAAAGGCGUAGUCGAUGGGAAACGGGUUAAUAUUCCCGUACUUGGUGUUACUGCGAAGGGGGGACGGAGAAGGCUAUGUUGGCCGGGCGACGGUUGUCCCGGUUUAAGCGUGUAGGUGUGUGUUCCAGGUAAAUCCGGUUCACUUUAACACUGAGGCGUGACGACGAGGCACUACGGUGCUGAAGCAACAAAUGCCCUGCUUCCAGGAAAAGCCUCUAAGCAUCAGGUAACAUCAAAUCGUACCCCAAACCGACACAGGUGGUCAGGUAGAGAAUACCAAGGCGCUUGAGAGAACUCGGGUGAAGGAACUAGGCAAAAUGGUGCCGUAACUUCGGGAGAAGGCACGCUGACACGUAGGUGAAGUGAUUUACUCACGGAGCUGAAGUCAGUCGAAGAUACCAGCUGGCUGCAACUGUUUAUUAAAAACACAGCACUGUGCAAACACGAAAGUGGACGUAUACGGUGUGACGCCUGCCCGGUGCCGGAAGGUUAAUUGAUGGGGUCAGCGCAAGCGAAGCUCCUGAUCGAAGCCCCGGUAAACGGCGGCCGUAACUAUAACGGUCCUAAGGUAGCGAAAUUCCUUGUCGGGUAAGUUCCGACCUGCACGAAUGGCGUAAUGAUGGCCAGGCUGUCUCCACCCGAGACUCAGUGAAAUUGAACUCGCUGUGAAGAUGCAGUGUACCCGCGGCAAGACGGAAAGACCCCGUGAACCUUUACUAUAGCUUGACACUGAACAUUGAGCCUUGAUGUGUAGGAUAGGUGGGAGGCUUUGAAGUGUGGACGCCAGUCUGC
rnacentral:rRNA from 1 species